CUCCCAUUUCCGGAAGCCUGGCGCAAGGUUGGUCUGCAGGUGGCCUCCAGGUGCAAAGUGGGAAGUGUGAGUCCUCAGUCUUGGGCUAUUCGGCCACGUGCCUGCCGGACAUGGGACGCUGGAGGGUCAGCAGCGUGGAGUCCUGGCCUUUUGCGUCCACGGGUGGGAAAUUGGCCAUUGCCACGGCGGGAACUGGGACUCAGGCUGCCCCCCGGCCGUUUCUCAUCCGUCCACCGGACUCGUGGGCGCUCGCACUGGCGCUGAUGUAGUUUCCUGACCUCUGACCCGUAUUGUCUCCAGAUUAAAGGUACGACAUUUGGAGGCCCCAGCGAGAAACGUCACCGGGAGAAACGUCACCGGGCGAGAGCCGGGCCCGCUGUGUGCUCCCCCGGAAGGACAGCCAGCUUGUAGGGGGGAGUGCCACCUGAAAAAAAAAUUUCCAGGUCCCCAAAGGGUGACCGUCUUCCGGAGGACAGCGGAUCGACUACCAUGUGGGUGCCCACAAAAAUUCCACCUCUGAGUCCUCAACUGCUGACCCCGGGGUCAGGUACAAGAUAUCAUCCUGCCACUUGUUCGAGGAACCCAUCCCAAUCCAAUUCCUGAACAGACAGGGCCCUGCCAUUCAUUCCCGCCAGGUGACCUGUUGUUUGUUAAAAAGUUCCAGAGAGAAGGACUCCCUCCUGCUUGGAAGAGACCUCACACCGUCAUCACGAUGCCAACGGCUCUGAAGGUGGAUGGCAUUCCUGCGUGGAUUCAUCACUCCCGCAUCAAAAAGGCCAACGGAGCCCAACUAGAAACAUGGGUCCCCAGGGCUGGGUCAGGCCCCUUAAAACUGCACCUAAGUUGGGUGAAGCCAUUAGAUUAAUUCUUUUUCUUAAUUUUGUAAAACAAUGCAUAGCUUCUGUCAAACUUAUGUAUCUUAAGACUCAAUAUAACCCCCUUGUUAUAACUGAGGAAUCAAUGAUUUGAUUCCCCAAAAACACAAGUGGGGAAUGUAGUGUCCAACCUGGUUUUUACUAACCCUGUUUUUAGACUCUCCCUUUCCUUUAAUCACUCAGCCUUGUUUCCACCUGAAUUGACUCUCCCUUAGCUAAGAGCGCCAGAUGGACUCCAUCUUGGCUCUUUCACUGGCAGCCGCUUCCUCAAGGACUUAACUUGUGCAAGCUGACUCCCAGCACAUCCAAGAAUGCAAUUAACUGAUAAGAUACUGUGGCAAGCUAUAUCCGCAGUUCCCAGGAAUUCGUCCAAUUGAUUACACCCAAAAGCCCCGCGUCUAUCACCUUGUAAUAAUCUUAAAGCCCCUGCACCUGGAACUAUUAACGUUCCUGUAACCAUUUAUCCUUUUAACUUUUUUGCCUACUUUAUUUCUGUAAAAUUGUUUUAACUAGACCCCCCCUCUCCUUUCUAAACCAAAGUAUAAAAGCAAAUCUAGCCCCUUCUUCAGGCCGAGAGAAUUUCGAGCGUUAGCCGUCUCUUGGCCACCAGCUAAAUAAACGGAUUCUUCAUGUGUCUCAAAGUGUGGCGUUUUCUCUAACUCGCUCAGGUACGACCGUGGUAGUAUUUUCCCCAACGUCUUAUUUUUAGGGCACGUA
rnacentral:lncRNA from 10 species